UUAACAUCAUGACGAUGCAUAAAAAGUGCAUGUGUGUGACAUUAUUAAAGAUGUAAGACUGCUCUAAAGUUGUAGAAGCACAGCCCCAGGGAAGAGGAUGCAGGAGAGACUGUAAGUCAUCAACUUCAAGGCCUCCAGGAAAACUGGUAGUGUGACCAUUGGUCAGUUCGGUCACUCUCUGGCUGUCCCUCAACUGUCCGGCAGUAGCUUGAUGUCCAGAGCUGACUGACCUCUGACCUCAGGUCAUUAACCGUGACCUCAAACUUCAGUGUAAUAGAGUGGCACUCUUCUUUCCACCUACAAACAGCAUAUGAGGGAUUUAUUUUAAAUCAGUGAAAAUCAUACAUGUUUUCAUUAUAUCUGUGAAGCUAGUAAUUUUUAUACAGCAUAGUCAAAGCUGUUUUAAACAGCCACCAAAGGAAGAAAAACAUUUCAGUUUAAUAUAAGCCAGGUGGUUGCUUAAUACAGCUGUGUUUAUAGCCUACUAAAUUAGAUGAUCUGGGAUAUUAAAUAGGUGGCCUUUUAAGACAAUUGGCUGCUAAACAGAAGUAGAUGUAGACAAGACAGCCAAUACCAUGGCUUUUGAUACACCAAAUUUGGGGCACUGGUUCAGAUAAGACUAUAAGACUCCAUCAUAUUUGGUCAUGUGGGAUAGAAAAAGUACACCCGAGGUGGUGAAAAUUUCGACCCGGGACGAGGCUUGCCCCAACAAAGAUUCCUCUUUAUAUAUUAGCAGCAAGAAUUUUUUAAUACUACUUUUCCAUUAUAAUUUUUCACAUUUCUAAAGCAUUAAAUACUAGUUACUACUUAAUUUUUAACUGAUCACCAACUGUCAUUAAUCACAAUUUUAGAAAUAAAAUGUUCUCUGUAAUUA